GAUGAAGAACGCAGCGAAAUGCGAUAAGUAAUGUGAAUUGCAGAAUUCAGUGAAUCAUCGAAUCUUUGAACGCACAUUGCGCCCCUUGGUAUUCCGGGGGGCAUGCCUGUUCGAGCGUCAUUAUAACCCCUCAAGCUCAGCUUGGUGUUGGGGCCUGCCAACUGGCAGCCCUUAAAAUCAGUGGCGGCGCCAUCUGGCUCUAAGCGUAGUAAUUUCUCUCGCUAUAGGGUCCCGGUGGAUGCUUGCCAACAACCCCCAAUUUUCUAUGGUUGACCUCGGAUCAGGUAGGGAUACCCGCUGAACUUAAGUAUAUCAAUAAGCGGAGGA
rnacentral:misc_RNA from 1 species